rnacentral:rRNA from 1 species
UUUUUUAAUUGAGGACUGGAAUGAAGGGUAGAUACUAAAAGGAAAGUUUUAUUAGAUAAUUUUGAAUUUAGAUUAAAAGUAAAAAUUCUUUUAUAAAUCUUUGGGACGAGAAGACCCUAGAAGCUUAAAAUUUUUAGAAGUUUUUAAUUGGGGCAAUUAUUAAAGAUAUAAAUUUUUAAUUAUUAUAUUUAAGAUUUAAUAGUUACUCUAGGGAUAACAGCGUUAUUUAAUUAGCAAGUUCUUAUUAAUAAUUAGGUUUGCGACCUCGAUGUUGAAUUAAAUUGUAUUUUGGGUGUAGAAGCUCAAAUAAUUAGUCUGUUCGACUAUUAGUAAUUUACGUGA